rnacentral:rRNA from 1 species
GACGAACGCUGGCGGCGUGCCUAACACAUGCAAGUCGCGCGAGAAAGCUGCUCUUUGAGCAGUUAGUAAAGCGGCGGACGGGUGAGUAACGCGUGAGUAAUCUACCUUUAAGUCUGAUAUAACUUCUCGAAAGGGAAGCUAAUUUCGGAUAUUAUGCUGCCUGGAUAACCAGGCUGCAUCAAAGGCGGCUUUUUGCCUCCGCUUUUAGAUGUGCUCGCGUCCCAUUAGCUUGUUGGUGAGAUAAUAGCUCACCAAGGCUGCGAUGGGUAGCCGACCUGAGAGGGUGAUCGGCCACACUGGGACUGAGACACGGCCCAGACUCCUACGGGAGGCUGCAGUGGGGAAUCUUCCGCAAUGAGCGAAAGCUUGACGGAGCGACGCCGCGUGAGUGAUGAAGGCCUUCGGGUCGUAAAGCUCUGUCCUCAGGGAAGAACAUCUUAGUAGUGAAUAACUGCUAGGCUUGACGGUACCUGAGAAGAAAGCUCCGGCUAACUACGUGCCAGCAGCCGCGGUAAUACGUAGGGAGCAAGCGUUGUCCGGAAUCAUUGGGCGUAAAGGGUGCGCAGGCGGUCUGGCAAGUCAAGUGUGAAAUGUAUCAGCUUAACUGAUACACUGCGCUUGAAACUGUCAGACUUGAGGGCAAGAGAAGAGAGCGGAAUUCCUAGUGUAGCGGUGAAAUGCGUAGAUAUUAGGAAGAACACCAGUGGCGAAAGCGGCUCUCUAGCUUGACCCUGACGCUGAGGCACGAAAGCUAGGGGAGCGAACGGGAUUAGAUACCCC